AAAGGUAUGAUGCCAGUAUAAGACGCUCAGAAGCCAAGUGUAACAAGAGUAUUUCAUCAAAGAACCAAUUGAUCGGUUGGCCUUCUUAUCACA
rnacentral:snoRNA from 1 species